GCAGACACAUUCCAGCCAAUCAGCAGCAGACCCUCCCUCCCAGACCCUCCCACCUCCUGGACAGCAUCCAUUUGCAUUCACAUGAAUUUAAUGUGAGCUGUCCAGGAGGUGGGAGGGUCUGGGAGGGAGGGUCUGCUGCUGAUUGGCUGGAAUGUGUCUG